rnacentral:rRNA from 1 species
CCUACGGGAGGCAGCAGUGAGGAAUAUUGGUCAAUGGGCGCGAGCCUGAACCAGCAACGUAGCGUGAAGGAUGACGGCUCUACGGGUUGUAAACUUCUUUUAUAAAGGAAUAAAGUGAGGCACGUGUGCCUUUUUGUCUGUACUUUAUGAAUAAGGAUCGGCUAACUCCGUGCCAGCAGCCGCGGUAAUACGGAGGAUCCGAGCGUUAUCCGGAUUUAUUGGGGUUAAAGGGAGCGUAUCUGGGUUGUUAAGUCAGUUGUGAAAGUUUGCGGCUCAACCGUAAAAUUGCAAUUGAUACUGGCAGCCUUGAGUACAGUUGAGGUAGGCGGAAUUCGUGGUGUAGCGGUGAAAUGCUUAGAUAUCACGAAGAACUCCGAUUGCGAAGGCAGCCUACUAAUCUGCCACUGACAUUGAUGCUCGAAAGUGUGGGUAUCAAACAGGAUUAGAUACCCCUGUAGUC